rnacentral:rRNA from 1 species
CAAGUCGAACGCAGUAGCAAUACUGAGUGGCAGACGGGUGAGUAACAUGUGGGAAUCUGCCUUGUGGUUCAGGACAACAUUGGGAAACUGAUGCUAAUACUGGAUAAGCCCUUACGGGGAAAGUUUUAAUGCCAUAAGAUGAGCCCGCAUUUGAUUAGUUAGUUGGUGAGGUAAUGGCUCACCAAGACAAUGAUCAAUAGCUGAUCUGAGAGGAUGAUCAGCCACACUGGGACUGAGACACGGCCCAGACUCCUACGGGAGGCAGCAGUGGGGAAUCUUGCACAAUGGAGGAAACUCUGAUGCAGCGAUGCCGCGUGAGUGAAGAAGGCCUUUGGGUUGUAAAGCUCUUUUGUAGGGGAAGAUAAUGACUGUACCCUAAGAAUAAGGUCCGGCUAACUUCGUGCCAGCAGCCGCGGUAAUACGAAGGGACCUAGCGUAGUUCGGAAUUACUGGGCGUAAAGCGCGCGUAGGCCGUUGAGUUAGUUAAUUGUGAAAUCCCAAAGCUUAACUUUGGAACUGCAAUUAAAACUGCUCGACUAGAGUUUGAUAGAGGAAAGCGGAAUACAUAGUGUAGAGGUGAAAUUCGUAGAUAUUAUGUAGAACACCAGUUGCGAAGGCGGCUUUCUGGAUCAACACUGACGCUGAGGCGCGAAAGUAUGGGUAGCAAAGAGGAUUAGAUACCCUCGUAGUCCAUACCAUAAACGAUGAUUGCUAGAUGUUGGAAAUUUAUUUUCAGUAUCGCAGCUAACGCAUUAAGCAAUCCGCCUGGGGAGUACGACCGCAAGGUUAAAACUCAAAUGAAUUGACGGGGACCCGCACAAGCGGUGGAGCAUGUGGUUUAAUUCGAAGAUACGCGCAGAACCUUACCAACCCUUGACAUGUCUGUCGCGAGUUUAGGAAACUAGACUUUUCGG